GGACGCCAGUCUGCAUGGAGCCGACCUUGAAAUACCACCCUUUAAUGUUUGAUGUUCUAACGUGGACCCGUUACCCGGGUUGCGGACAGUGUCUGGUGGGUAGUUUGACUGGGGCGGUCUCCUCCUAAAGAGUAACGGAGGAGCACGAAGGUUGGCUAAUCCUGGUCGGACAUCAGGAGGUUAGUGCAAUGGCAUAAGCCAGCUUGACUGCGAGCGUGACGGCGCGAGCAGGUGCGAAAGCAGGUCAUAGUGAUCCGGUGGUUCUGAAUGGAAGGGCCAUCGCUCAACGGAUAAAAGGUACUCCGGGGAUAACAGGCUGAUACCGCCCAAGAGUUCAUAUCGACGGCGGUGUUUGGCACCUCGAUGUCGGCUCAUCACAUCCUGGGGCUGAAGUAGGUCCCAAGGGUAUGGCUGUUCGCCAUUUAAAGUGGUACGCGAGCUGGGUUUAGAACGUCGUGAGACAGUUCGGUCCCUAUCUGCCGUGGGCGCUGGAGAACUGAGGGGGGCUGCUCCUAGUACGAGAGGACCGGAGUGGACGCAUCACUGGUGUUCGGGUUGUCAUGCCAAUGGCACUGCCCGGUAGCUAAAUGCGGAAGAGA
rnacentral:rRNA from 1 species